UGUAUUUUCUCAUGAAACUCAGCCAUCUUUACUUCUUCGACUACAACAGGCACUAUCAAUCAUUCAAAGCUUACUAUCUUUCUUGAGGCGGUGGAUAACACUUAUAAAAAGGUCAUCCUUUCUUCCAUCAACACAUACUCCUCGAUUCUAAGGAAACAUGGCCAGAGCCAUAACUGUGAGCUCCUGCAGAUCUUACUCUGUCCGACAGAUCUUCCGAGCAUCUCACGGUUUCGGCGAUUCUUUCUUGGCUCAACGGCGGGGAUUGGAGCAUGGUGAGUCGAGAGUGCUUCAGGCAGGACGACGGUUUGACUUAAAGCUCCGACGAGGCGAUGCUGAUAAUAAUUACGUCAAAUUAUUCCGACGACGUACUCUGAACAUUACCCGGAUCCUUCUGAUGUAUCUACAGGUUUGUUCAGCGGGCUCAACGAGCAAUCAAUACAUCACAUGUUGAAGCAGAGAGUAAAGAGAAUGGUAUCGGUUUUGUUAAGCUUAUGAGUGUUACAAUGCGAUGGAUGCUACAUAAGCUAGCAGACAUGUCUACCUUACUCCUGAGCCAGCAUUUUAUCUUGAAGGAAAAAGAUGGAUUCUUGGAAUACAUUGAGAAACGGAUAAAGGUGAAUGGUCACAUGGUGAGAAUUGAUGUGCAAAAGCAUGGAAUCUAACAGACGCCUCUGAUAACAUGCUUCUUAAAGGUGUCACUCCUGGCUACCACAAAGCAUCAAGGUAAAAAUUAGAUUAAAACUUUCUCUUAUGCCAUUUCAGUUAUAGUCUAUUAUGGUUCAAUUAUUUGGGUUCAAAAGGGAGUAAAGACACGAAGCCAUGAUUACAUAUUUUAUAGGUCAGUCUAUGCUGAUCUAUUUGGUUUCCUUCUUAUUUCAUUUUGUAAGAAAACCAAGUUAAGAAAGAAACGAAGAAAGUUAGAGACAGAAUUGUAAUCAAGACAUGUUCUGUCUAUUUGAAUCAGUCUUGCGAUGCCACCAAGUACGAGAUAGAGCUGUGUUACGACGCGAAUGUUACGGGGAUGAUAAGUUAUGCCCACAUAGGUGAUUUGUCAGGAAUAUCGGCGUACAAGAACUGUUUCCGUGUUUUCCGGUUAAAAAAAUCAGAGUUGACGGUGCAAGCAAUACUCACUCUUCUCUUUGUCCAAUACCACUAAAAGAUUGCGUUGCU